rnacentral:lncRNA from 1 species
GAAACCUGAAGCCACUUCCCAGCCCGCUCCGCCCCUCGCCGCGAUUUCCUCACAUGGCAGCGCUGCUUCUCCGCGAGUCACUCGAGAGGAACGACGGCCCCUGCUUCUGCUUCUCCGACCCCUGUCCCUGCGCCGACACGCGUCGCCCCUGUUCCGAUCUCGCCGCCCCCGCCGCCGGUCCCUUCUCCUCCCUCCGCGUCCAUCGCACCUGCUCCUGAUCCCGCUCUCUUUCCUCCCUUCUCCCGCCGUUAUUUGUGAUUGCGGCUCUGAUUCUUGCUUCCACGGUCUGUCUCGCGGUUCCUGGGAGCUUCUGAGUUCUGGUUCUGUCCCUGACCGGUGUUGCCAUGGGGAAGAG